rnacentral:rRNA from 1 species
UACAGAGGUCCCGAGCGUUGUUCGGAAUCACUGGGCGUAAAGCGCACGUAGGCGGAUUGCUAAGUCAGGGGUGAAAUCCUGGAGCUCAACUCCAGAACUGCCUUUGAUACUGGUGAUCUUGAGUCCGGGAGAGGUGAGUGGAACUGCGAGUGUAGAGGUGAAAUUCGUAGAUAUUCGCAAGAACACCAGUGGCGAAGGCGGCUCACUGGCCCGGUACUGACGCUGAGGUGCGAAAGCGUGGGGAGCAAACAGG